CGGGGGCACCCAGGGUGGGGACAGCGUUCUGUCACUGCCUCCUUCAACCACAAAAAGCUCUCUCACCCGCCUGCAUAACUCUGUGUCUGCCCAUGGACCACAACCAAGAAGCAGCAGCUGCGAGAAGCAGCUCUACCAGUGGGUUUCUGCAGGGCUGAAAAUGGAGACAACUGGUCUUCUAGGCGGUGCACAACUUGAACAAAUUUGGAUGGAGAAGACAAGACAGAAGACUGGACAGGUCCAUCUAACCUAACGCCCACCCAGACCUUAGAGCCAUGUUCAUUAGCUCCUGUAGCAAAUCCUGCGGCAGCAAUUUGGUCAUCGUAGAAAGGCAUCAAAAGCUGUCGUCUCUCCCGAAAACAACUGUCACCAGAAUGAACACACCAGCCGUGCUGGUGAUGAAUGGUAAUGACUCAGCCUCCGCUGCAGAUGCACAAAGAGGAGUCGCUUUGAUUCGUUCCCGCUUGCCACAUCGUCCCUUGACGGCAGCCUCACCUGCAUCGCUCACAGCAUGUGAUGUUCUUCCAGAAACCUGUCCCCCAGAGGAUCGUGGUGCAAAACCAGCCCACCUUGCACAGAUGCCUUGGCCCCGCUUCUCCCUGCUCCAUUUUUGCUUUCAGGGCAGCAUAAUUUUGGCCUGCCAGUUUGCAUGCUCAUGUCUUUGCUGUUUGCUGUCCUCAGUCAUCCAAACUAACAAAGUGGCUUCCCUGCUUUAUUUUGUAGCCUCUCAGUGUUUUUUUCUGCCUCCCUGUCUCCAUAAGCAGUACUUUUAUCUCAUUCUUUUUGCAAAGCAUGGUCACUUUUCAAUUGCUGGCUAAUGAAGCCUCACUUCACAUACACAGAAAAAAAAAGUUUGCAGUCACUGCAAAGUUCUCACGUGCGUGUUUUUCAUGAAACCACAUCUGAUGCUGCUCUCAGAAAAAGCCAACACCCAUCCUCUAAGAACCUGUCAACCAAAAGCGGGGGAGACCAGGGAAAUGUCAAAAACAAGGGCGGAUCAAGCAAGAGGAGGUAGGUUUUAGAACAGCUCCUUUAAAUCAUCCCAGCCUUAUUCUUCUUCCCUUGUAACUUUAUUAAAAUUUCGGACCCAAGAGAAAAAAACAAAUGUUCUGACGUUUUAUCUUCAGAUACAGGACUAAAAGCCAAGACAUUCUUAAUGAAAAGUGUAAAUAAUUGUGCCAUUUAGCAGUGUUGGAUGGGGUUGUUUUAAUUCAUUCCUGCCUUAAAUUACCAACAUUCCCACAAGCAGCGGGAGAUACGAGUCAGCCCUUUUAAGCCCAGCUAUGCUGGUGCAGAAGGGAGGUGUAUUAAACAACUUCUGCCCUAUUCACAUCUCCUCCUGCUCCAGUGCAUGGAGGAUUCCCAACAUACAGUAAGUUGUGUCGCAAAGGCUUAGUUAGUCCUUUACUUUGUUCUGAGGCUAUUGGGUGGGUGAAGAUUGCAUUGCAGGGGACAACCUACAUGGGGAACAAGGAGAAAAAAGCUGGUGAAGGAAGGGCAAUUGACCCUUAGAGACAGUAUGAAGGAGGACAUAGGAAAAGGUGGUUGACACCAGUUACUGGGCAGUUUGGGAAAGAUAGUGUUCAUGUGGAUUUAGAGUACUUGUAAAAGUUUUGCUCUGGAUAUUGCUGCAGUUUCAGUUCUCCGAGUAAACAUUCUCCUUAGAAACCUGAAGGAUGGAGUUACAAUAACUUGUAUAAUUGUUAACUCAUUUACAAGGCACAGGGUCUUCAGGGACCUAGAUUAUGUUUAGACAGUCUGUGUCAGUGACUGACUGAGCUUAGUAUGAUUUUUUUCUUUGCCAAACUCGUGAAACAUUUAGUACUUCCCCGUCCACCUCCCCCUCCCAGCAAAACAAGGCUCAUAAUGAUAUUCAGUUUUGUAGAAAACAUGGGAGGAAUUCUCCCUCUUACUGUGCAGGAGGAGAAUCAGCAGGCCAGGAUGGUAGAAGAUAUGACCCACUCCACAGAGCUUCACAAACCUUAGGAGCCCUAUGCACAAAUCUUUGUGAGGCUAUGAAAUUCACACAAUGUAUUUUGGAGAGGUGGAAAAAGGGCAGGAUCCAGGAACCAUUCACCCAGAGGAGAGGACAGUGCUUCCUGAGGACACCCAUACUGCGUUAGACAAUGGAGACAAGCUGGGUGUAUGAGCUGGCCUCUGGGAAAACUGAUCUCUUGUGCCAGGCAGGUUAUGGUCCCAGUUUGGGAUGUAGCUCAAUGCACUUGAGCUGUGCAAAAGUCAUGGUAGCUGAAGAACCACAGGCUGGCUUCUCUAGCCCAUGUCCAUCUUGGACACCUUGGUUUGGGGACUUUGGGAGGUCUGCAGACAGCCUUGUUCUCAAUGCCCCAGUGGACACGCACAUUGCAGUGAGCAGGAAACAUGACACACAUGUUGGUGCCCUACUGUCUCCCUUCACACUCCUCGCCAUGUUGUGUGCAGUGGAUCCAUCACAUGUCGUGGAGGUGAGUUGUAUGUUUGUCCAUUCAGGCUUGUCACUGCAAUCCACAACAUCUAGUGCAUCCCAAGAGGCCCAUCAAAGUUGACUUUGGCUUUCUUCUUCUGCUCUCUUACCCCUUUUUUUCAUUCCAGUAUCAUUUGGCCUAUGAAAGUAAAUCAUAACUUUAUCAUAGCAAAAUACUAUUUCAGUUCAAAGCGGGAAAGCAAACCAGCCCAAAUGAAACUUGUGCAGAAUUAAUAUAAUCCGCAAAAUUGUACUCAGCAAGUAGUUCCCAGGUGUCCAUUAUCAGAAGAACAUGGUAAAGUGUGAUUUUACAGAGCUCGUCCUCAAAUAUGGUAUUAUUCAAUAUAUCUUUUAAUAUCCUAGAUGGAUAUGAUCACACUCGUUACAUUUGCACACACCGGACUUCCCAGGAACGUACAUGCACUGGAGGACAGAACCACAAUUCAAGCUAAUAUUGACAAACUGGAGAAGUGGUGCGGAAAAAAUUAAAUCCAGUUCAAGAGAGUGAGCUGUGAAGGACUCUGCUCCAGCAAGAAUGAUCAACCUCAUAAAUGCAGGCUGAGGGAUGACUGGUUAAGUUCCACUUUUUUCCGAAAAGAGGCUGGAGGCAGUGAAACAUGAGUUAGCAAUGACACCUGGAAAUAGCAGACAACAUGUCAUCAGAUUUAAUCAAAUGCAGAGACACAAGGUAAUUCUCUCACAGUGGUGGGGGUUAGCAAGCCUCUGCCAAGGCAGGACAUGGCUUUCAAGCAUGUCAGAGGAUAGAAACCUUUUGGUGACAGUCCUGCAAGGAACAACCAGACUGCUCAGAGGGUCAGAAAACAGAAAAUUAAGGAAAAGAUAGGAGGAACUGGAACCACUUCAUUUGAGAGAUACAAGAUGAACACAGGAGAUAAGAGCAGUUCGCAAGCCCUCCUCUCCACCUCUGUGGUGCAUGAGGAGCCAUGCACAUAGGCUGCAGAACGGAGGAGGGAAAUUAAGUAGCAAGCUAGCAGAAACUAGGAAAAAGCAAGUUAGAAAAAAAAAAACACAACUUUCCAAGAGUCAAGACUGUCAAGCAGCAAAAGCAAGUACUUGGGUGAGUCAGUGCUGAGUGAAUCAGAGUGCUGCUUUAACUUACAAAGCAUUCGUGAAGCUUUUGAAGAACAGAGUAGACCAAGUAGCUAUUGGGAAUAGUGUAAGAAUAGUUGAUUCUGCCUUAGGGAAGGGCAGUAGGAGUAGGGGAUCUCUUGAGGUUAGGCUCAAUGCUAUUUAACUAGAGCAGCUAUUGAGUAAUGCUGGAUUUCUACUUGUUGGAUUUAUUUCUCAGGGACACUUAGCUGGGUGCUGAGUUGUCUCACUGCUUGAGGGGUCCAGCACAUUCCAGUGGCUCUUGGCUGGGACAGAAAUAUUUUUGCUGUUUCAGCAAAUUUAAGUGUCCCUACCAUCUUUUUCCUUCUGUAAGAAAUCUUCAUGUUUGUUUGCUUUUGCCUUCAUUCUUUCUUCCUAGUUAUUUUCACACCUAUUCCUCUGUGAUCCAGUGAGGUCAUUGUCAACGGUGGAGACGGCAGGUUUUUCAUCAUUUGAUGAUUAAAUCCCAGGGAUUUCUCUCAGAAUUAUUUCAGAUUGUUUACACAAAUUGUGAAAGAGAAGCUGUCUGCAUAUCAUAAUAACAUGUAAACUACCUGAUGCUACUCCCAGCAUAACCAACAAAUAUGCUAAAUCCUGCUAAGCAUCAAAACGUUAUGUUUUACUAAGGAUUACACAUCAAUUAUACAAUCUCUUUACCAACUUGAACAAAUUCUAAAAUUGAUCAAACAGGUCUAUACUAUAAUCAAAUGCUUGUUCCCAAGCCACAAGACCUUCCCAAUUUUCUCUACCAUAGCAUUUGUUAAUCAAACGUUUUUUCCCCAAUAGUAAUUUUCUUGGGUGUUGGAGGAAAUACAGGGAAGAAACUUAUUGUUCAGCUGUCUGAACAAUUUUCCAUCCCAGGCAAAGUAUAUUGCCAGCUGAUUCACAGCAUUAUUUCAGUAAUAUGUCCAUAAUAUGUUCUUUCCCUUUAGGUCGACUGUGAGAAAUGGAGUGAAAGCCCUGGGUCAUUUAUUUUAGAUUCUCUGGUCAUACUGUCAAACAAAUGGUACCUGUAGAUGAAUGCCUCUCCUUCACAUUAAAUAAAUUCUGCUUGCAGACU